CAGCUUUUUACCUGUUUGGUUACCUGAGUUGUCAGUGUUAGCUGACUGGAUGAAAGCAUCCUUCUGUUCUCACAAAAUUUGACCUGCACCUUUGCUCAAAAAUGUGUUUCACUCUAUCUGACUCUGUGUGCUCAAUAUAAUCAAGGAUCCACUAGAAUCUGCUUGUUUUAAGAAUCUUAUAUAUCCACUCACUUAAAAAGAACAAAAAACAAACAAACAAAAAACCAUUUAGCUAACCUUAAACAUUACCAUUUACUUUUAAGAGUUUAGAAAAGGUUACAGCUGUGCAGCGUACAGCUGUUUUACACAAAUACAGCGUUUGUGAAAAUGAGCUCAUUUCAGUGAAACAGCUCUUCUCAGUGAAGUUAUGAGAGACAGUGUUCUGCUUUUCUGACGAUGGACCUGACCUCUGCCUUUUAUACUAGUGAACACCACAUUACUUAAAGUAUUAUUUAUAAGUGUUCAUUUGUCUCAUCAUAAGUACAUUUACUUGUUUUUGUUAGGAAUGUUUCCCCACUUUUGAUCACUUUGGACUAUUUCUUAUGCCAUAAAAGAACUGCUUAAACACUCAAACCUUACAUGUAGUACAAACAUAUUGUGUUUUGGGCUGGUACUGUACAUCCUGACAGAGUACAGUAGAUUAUGUGUUCUGGCACCACCUUAUCACAAUCAGGGGACCGAAUCAGAUAGUCUGGCCGUCCAGUCUCCCAGCAGAGUGAUCUGAAAUCUAAUACAGACUAAACUGUGUAUCACCUCAUGCUCAUGCAGAAGGAAAAUACAGUUGUGCAGACUCAUAUUAUCUCACUAAGUUGUCCCUAUCACGUCUCUCAUGGUGAAUGGACCUCACGCAGUGAUGUUUCUGAUGUCUCAUAGAAACAGACGAAUCAUCAACAACAGAUAGAAGAAGAAAAGUUUGUGCAAGAAAUGAAAGAAAAAAAAACCUUAAAACGCAUUGAUGGUAAUGUGAUCAAAUAUAGUGCAUUAAUUUGUUAUCCUAAAAAAACAGCAAAAUCACUUAGACUAUUAGAGACUGAAUGGAAUUCUAGUAAGAGGUGAACAAAAACAAGGGAUAUCUAUACAACCCUGAGAAAGAACAAGGAGAAAAAACAACAAUAAAAAGACGAUAAAGAACACUUUACAGCUAAGGAUAAUUUUGUUAUAUGAAUGUCAUAGUGAGUUGACUCCUCCUUAUCUAAAGGCACAUUCUGGUCCUAUCUGAACCACAGGAACAGAAAAAAUAAAAAUAAAAUAAACAAGGAUACAAAGCACAUAAAGAAACAAAAGAUAUUGUGAUUGUGUUGUCCAGUUCUCUUUCUAAGAACUUUUAAAAAUCUUGGUUACCAACAAGGUUCAGCAGUAUAAAAAUAAAGUUAACAUUGGGAUAAAGUGGUGUUAAUUUCUCUAUGACUAUGUGGUUGUUGUCAUGCUGGAUAAUAAAGAUAAUGAAAACUGCCUAGUGGUUUGACUAAGAUGUAAACACAAAAUUUGUAUCAUCAUUUGAGCAACAAGGAACAUAAAAAAACUAAAUGUGUGUGAUAUGAAACCUUAUCAGACAGAAUAUAAGACCACAAGCACAGUGAUCCAUCAUCCUUUAACUGGCUGCUCAGUCAGUGGUUGCGGACAGUCUUUUUUUUAAAAAAAAAAAGAGGUGAACAUGGACAAAAGCUCGUCUACAGUUUGUAUAUUGAUUGUAGCACUUUGUGCAUUGGUGCACUUUGGCACGGCUUUUUCUAAGGUGGAACCUAAACCUGACGUUUUAAUAAGUGAGUUUCUUUUGAGUAUUGUUUCUUUCUGAAAUGUGCAUGUUUGUCACCUCAGCUGUCACCUGAUUUACCACAGCUGAUCCAUAUCCUUUUU
ensembl:lncRNA